rnacentral:rRNA from 1 species
AUUGAACGCUGGCGGCAGGCCUAACACAUGCAAGUCGAACGGUAACAGGAAGAAGCUUGCUUCUUUGCUGACGAGUGGCGGGCGGGUGAGUAAUGUCUGGGAAACUGCCUGAUGGAGGGGGAUAACUACUGGAAACGGUAGCUAAUACCGCAUAACGUCGCAAGACCAAAGAGGGGGACCUUCGGGCCUCUUGCCAUCGGAUGUGCCCAGAUGGGAUUAGCUAGUAGGUGGGGUAACGGCUCACCUAGGCGACGAUCCCUAGCUGGUCUGAGAGGAUGACCAGCCACACUGGAACUGAGACACGGUCCAGACUCCUACGGGAGGCAGCAGUGGGGAAUAUUGCACAAUGGGCGAAAGCCUGAUGCAGCCAUGCCGCGUGUGUGAAGAAGGCCUUCGGGUUGUAAAGUACUUUCAGCGGGGAGGAAGGGAGUAAAGUUAAUACCUUGGCUCAUUGACGUUACCCGCAGAAGAAGCACCGGCUAACUCCGUG